rnacentral:rRNA from 1 species
UGGGGAAUUGUUCGCAAUGGGCGCAAGCCUGACGACGCAACGCCGCGUGGAGGAUGAAGACUUUCGGGUCGUAAACUCCUGUCGAAUGGGACGAACAGAUCGUGGGUUAACAGCCCGUGAUCCUGACGGUACCGUUAAAGGAAGCCCCGGCUAACUCCGUGCCAGCAGCCGCGGUAAUACGGGGGGGGCAAGCGUUGUUCGGAAUUACUGGGCGUAAAGGGCUCGUAGGCGGCCAACUAAGUCGGACGUGAAAUCCCUCAGCUUAACUGGGGAACUGCGUCCGAUACUGGAUGGCUUGGAUUCGGGAGAGGGAUGCGGAAUUCCAGGUGUAGCGGUGAAAUGCGUAGAUAUCUGGAGGAACACCGGUGGCGAAGGCGGCAUCCUGGACCGAUAUUGACGCUGAGGAGCGAAAGCCAGGGGAGCAAACGG